rnacentral:rRNA from 1 species
GAUGAACGCUGGCGGCGUGCCUAAUACAUGCAAGUCGAGCGAACGGACGAGAAGCUUGCUUCUCUGAUGUUAGCGGCGGACGGGUGAGUAACACGUGGAUAACCUACCUAUAAGACUGGGAUAACUUCGGGAAACCGGAGCUAAUACCGGAUAAUAUUUUGAACCGCAUGGUUCAAAAGUGAAAGACGGUCUUGCUGUCACUUAUAGAUGGAUCCGCGCUGCAUUAGCUAGUUGGUAAGGUAACGGCUUACCAAGGCGACGAUGCAUAGCCGACCUGAGAGGGUGAUCGGCCACACUGGAACUGAGACACGGUCCAGACUCCUACGGGAGGCAGCAGUAGGGGAUCUUCCGCAAUGGGCGAAAGCCUGACGGAGCAACGCCGCGUGAGUGAUGAAGGUCUUCGGAUCGUAAAACUCUGUUAUUAGGGAAGAACAUAUGUGUAAGUAACUGUGCACAUCUUGACGGUACCUAAUCAGAAAGCCACGGCUAACUACGUGCCAGCAGCCGCGGUAAUACGUAGGUGGCAAGCGUUAUCCGGAAUUAUUGGGCGUAAAGCGCGCGUAGGCGGUUUUUUAAGUCUGAUGUGAAAGCCCACGGCUCAACCGUGGAGGGUCAUUGGAAACUGGAAAACUUGAGUGCAGAAGAGGAAAGUGGAAUUCCAUGUGUAGCGGUGAAAUGCGCAGAGAUAUGGAGGAACACCAGUGGCGAAGGCGACUUUCUGGUCUGUAACUGACGCUGAUGUGCGAAAGCGUGGGGAUCAAACAGGAUUAGAUACCCUGGUAGUCCACGCCGUAAACGAUGAGUGCUAAGUGUUAGGGGGUUUCCGCCCCUUAGUGCUGCAGCUAACGCAUUAAGCACUCCGCCUGGGGAGUACGACCGCAAGGUUGAAACUCAAAGGAAUUGACGGGGACCCGCACAAGUGGUGGAGCAUGUGGUUUAAUUCGAAGCAACGCGAAGAACCUUACCAAAUCUUGACAUCCUUUGACAACUCUAGAGAUAGAGCCUUCCCCUUCGGGGGACAAAGUGACAGGUGGUGCAUGGUUGUCGUCAGCUCGUGUCGUGAGAUGUUGGGUUAAGUCCCGCAACGAGCGCAACCCUUAAGCUUAGUUGCCAUCAUUAAGUUGGGCACUCUAAGUUGACUGCCGGUGACAAACCGGAGGAAGGUGGGGAUGACGUCAAAUCAUCAUGCCCCUUAUGAUUUGGGCUACACACGUGCUACAAUGGACAAUACAAAGGGCAGCGAAACCGCGAGGUCAAGCAAAUCCCAUAAAGUUGUUCUCAGUUCGGAUUGUAGUCUGCAACUCGACUACAUGAAGCUGGAAUCGCUAGUAAUCGUAGAUCAGCAUGCUACGGUGAAUACGUUCCCGGGUCU